rnacentral:lncRNA from 13 species
GCCCCGGUGAGCCCAGUGGACAUGCUACCUAUGUGCUGAUCUAGCCCCAAGUGAGCACCUGUAUGCUGGAGAGAUCAGGAGCUGCACUGAAUUGGAAAAGUGUUGCCUUAGGGGCACUAAAGCUAGUGUGGAGAAACAGAAGCACCUUUGAAGAGAGACAAGAUCCUUGCGGAAUCGCCACACUGUCUUCCACAAUGGUUGAACUAAUUUACAAUCCCACCAACAUUGUAAAAGUGUUCCUGUUUCUCCACAUCUUCUCCAGCAUCUGAUGUCUGAAGAUCCUGAUCCUAUAUUCUCUGACCUCCUGUUCUACUACCAACUGUGGCAGCCCCUGAGAAUGUUCCAGCAGAAACUGCAGCUCAAAGACAUUAAGGAACUUAACAACAGCAAUAUUAUCAGAAUUUGGACUCAGACCCAUCUGAUGCCAAAGCUUUUACCGGACUCCAAGCCACUGAUUCAUAUAGUGCCCAGAACAUAGCAACUGCUCGAUCAAUA